rnacentral:rRNA from 1 species
GACGAACGCUGGCGGCGUGCCUAAUACAUGCAAGUUGAGCGCUGAAGGUUGGUACUUGUUCCAACUGGAUGAGCAGCGAACGGGUGAGUAACGCGUGGGGAAUCUGCCUUUGAGCGGGGGACAACAUUUGGAAACGAAUGCUAAUACCGCAUAAAAACUUUAAACACAAGUUUUAAGUUUGAAAGAUGCAAUUGCAUCACUCAAAGAUGAUCCCGCGUUGUAUUAGCUAGUUGGUGAGGUAAAGGCUCACCAAGGCGAUGAUACAUAGCCGACCUGAGAGGGUGAGUGGCCACAGUGGGACUGAGACACGGCCCAAACUCCUACGGGAGGGAGCAGUAGGGAAACGUCGGCAAUGGACGAAAGGCUGAACGAGCAACGCCGCGGGAGUGAAGAAGGGUGUCGGAUCGGAAAAAUCUGUUGGUAGAGAAGAACGUUGGUGAGAGUGGAAAGCUCAUAAAGUGACGGUAACUACACAGAAAGGGACGGCUAACUACGUG